rnacentral:rRNA from 1 species
AGAGUUUGAUCCUUGGCUCAGGACGAACGCUGCGGCUGCCUAAUACAUGCAAGUAGAACGCUGAAGACUUUAGCUUGCUAGAGUUGGAAGAGUUGCGAACGGGUGAGUAACGCGUAGUAACCUGCCUACUAGCGGGGGAUAACUAUUGAAACGAUAGCUAAUACCGCAUAACAGUGUUUAACACAUGUUAGAUGCUUGAAAGAUGCAAUUGCAUCACUAGUAGAUGGACCUGCGUUGUAUUAGCUAGUUGGUGGGGUAACGGCCUACCAAGGCGACGAUACAUAGCCGACCUGAGAGGGUGAUCGGCCACACUGGGACUGAGACACGGCCCAGACUCUACGGGAGGCAGCAGUAGGGAAUCUUCGGCAAUGGGGGCAACCCUGACCGAGCAACGCCGCGUGAGUGAAGAAGGUUUUCGGAUCGUAAAGCUCUGUUGUAAGAGAAGAACGUGUGUGAGAGUGGAAAGUUCACACAGUGACGGUAACUUACCAGAAAGGGACGGCUAACUACGUGCCAGCAGCCGCGGUAAU